rnacentral:rRNA from 1 species
UACGGAGGAUCCGAGCGUUAUCCGGAAUCAUUGGGUUUAAAGGGUCCGUAGGCGGCUUAAUAAGUCAGCGGUGAAAUCUUCUAGCUCAACUAGGAAACUGCCGUUGAUACUGUUAAGCUUGAAUUAGUGUGAAGUAACUAGAAUAUGUAGUGUAGCGGUGAAAUGCAUAGAUAUUACAUGGAAUACCAAUUGCGAAGGCAGGUUACUAACACUAUAUUGACGCUGAUGGACGAAAGCGUGGGUAGCGAAC